rnacentral:lncRNA from 1 species
GGAAAUCUUUGCACAGAGGGAGGGAAGGAUAGAGGCUACAGGAAGGCGAAAGGUGUCGGGAGGAAGCCCCAGCUCCUGUGAAGGCAACAAAGGGAGAGAGGCGAUGGCGAAGCCAGGAGGAGGUGGCCUCCUCACAGGGCGGAACUCCCGGGAAGAGGUGGACUCUGGUCCUGAGGCUGCAGCAGGGGAAGCCUGCCACCCCAGCCCGUGCCUGGGUCACGUGUGGAGAAGACCCAAGACAAGGAGGACUGAAGCAGGGAAGGAGGCAUCGCGGAGGAGAUGAAAAGGCAGAGGAAUAGAAAACAAGACCACCUUGUUCGACUCUGCAAUUUCUUCACGCUCUGCUCUGGUUCCAUCAGCUCUCACAAAAUAGAGGUGGUUGCAAGGAGGUCAUUUGAUGUCAGAGGUCCAGACUCAUAUGCGACUCAGUGAAAACAUUGGCAAGAACCACCUGUAAUUUAAGUUGGUUGAUUGCAUAUUUAAUCAUUUUAAUUCCACCAGUAGGGUAAACUCAAAAUCUACUUUGCAGAACCUCACCUGGCAAAUGGAGGGGGAUGAUACAGGUGACGUGGUACUGACAUUAAGGUAGACUGUCAGGAGAUGCAGCUCUGCUAAGGAAGAGGAAGUUAGAAGCUGGAAAGUUCAGCACUGGAGGAGUCUGGAGGGAGGAGGCUCACACACACACACACACACACAUACAAAUACACACACAGGCCUCGUUAUCCUGUUUUAUUUUUAUCAUUGCAGUUAUCACAUCCUGAACAUACUUCAUUGAUUUACAAUUGAUUUACCUGUCUGUCACCUGCCGACACACCAUUAGAAUGUCCCCGACAGCAGGAACCUUGUCUGUCUUGUUCAGCUCCAGGGUCCCCAGGAUCCAGAACGAUGCCUGGAACCAGUGCCCAUCACCACUGCUCGUGAGGAAGGGAGGGAGCGCUUAGCAGCUGGACCACUUAUCUCAGAACGGAUGCUGAAACCGGCCAGGCUGUUACAGCCACACAUAAUUUAGCGAUGUCAAUCUCUUCAGUAGUUCAGCAGGCCAAGUAGUAAGCCACGGGUGGGGGAGAAUAAUCAUCUCUUGAAUUCUAAAGUGACUUAAAGGGCAACUACGUAAUCUAAAGACAGCAAAAUGGAGAAAAGAAAUGUCUUCUCGGGUUUCAGAUACUCUGGAGCCUUGCAGUCACUGGGGGGCGGGAACAUACGCACAGUGACAGAGCCCAGCUGCUGGCUUGCUCACUGUGAGAGGCCUACAUAAGAGGAAGGUUCAGGGUUGGCACAGCCCG